rnacentral:rRNA from 1 species
UUCGAUUAAGCCAUGCGAGUUAAAUGUUCUUCGUGAACAUAGCAGACUGCUCAGUAACACGUGGAUAACCUGCCCUUAGGACUGGCAUAACCCCGGGAAACUGGGGAUAAUUCCGGAUAGAUCAUAAAUGCUGGAAUGCUUUAUGAUUGAAAGGUUUCGACCGCCUUAGGAUGGAUCUGCGGCCUAUCAGGUUGUAGUGGGUGUAAUGUACCUACUAGCCUACGACGGGUACGGGUUGUGGAAGCAAGAGCCCGGAGAUGGAUUCUGAGACAUGAAUCCAGGCCCUACGGGGCGCAGCAGGCGCGAAAACUUUACAAUGCGGGAAACCGUGAUAAGGGAACACUGAGUGCUAGCAUUUAUGUUAGCUGUCCACAUGUGUAAAUAGCAUGUGAUAGCAAUGGCUGGGCAAGACCGGUGCCAGCCGCCGCGGUAACACCGGCAGCCCGAGUGGUGAUCACUAUUAUUGGGUCUAAAGGGUCCGUAGCCGGUUUAAUCAGUCUUCUGGGAAAUCUAAUCGCUUAACUAUUAGGCUUCCAGGGGAUACUGUUAGACUUGGGACCGGGAGAGGUAAGAGGUACUGCAGGGGUAGGAGUGAAAUCUUGUAAUCCCUGUGAGACCACCAGUGGCGAAGGCGUCUUACCAGAACGGGUCCGACGGUGAGGGACGAAAGCUGGGGGCACGAACCGGAUUAGAUACCCGGGUAGUCCCAGCUGUAAACGAUGCUCGUUAGGUGUCAGGAACGGUG